UUGAACAUAAUUCUUUGGUUAAUGUGUAACAUUAAAUAAAUAACCAAGGGUAGUGAAAGAGUUCAAAGGGUAGUGAAAAACUAAGCAAUCAUAUUGGGUUUGGAUAACCUGUGAUGUGGAUCUUGGACCAGUGUCCAUUCUUGGCCGUUCCUUUAAUCUCCAGUUUCAUGUGUCAUCUAGAUACAGAACUCCUCAGCUGCACCUUUCUUUGGAAUGGUCACAGCUUGAUAACCCUAUUUGUAUCCCAAAGAAAAUCUUUUCCAUCAGCAAUGUCUAAUGUGUCUAUAUUUUUUAUUACUCACUUAGCAUAUAAAGGAAUAUUCCUUGCUGCAGAGCAUAAGAGAGACAUCCCCUAAGUGUUACCAUACUUGGUGGAGAUUUUCUAUUCUUAUAUUACUUUUUAUUUGAAAACGCUUCAUUACUUUCUUAAGUAUAGGACUCUCUCUGCAGCUAGUGCUCUCAGCAGCUGCUAGGUUUACUAGUGCAAUGUAAUGGAUGCUAAAUUUACCAUGAGCAAGAUAUUUCCAGUUUGAACCACCUUUGAUUAACUGGCACAACAGUAAUUUAAAAUGUUCAUGGCUGCCUUCCCUCUCAGUGUUUCACCAGCAUUCGUGGGCAUGGAAUUUUAUGUUCUGCAAAGCCCUUGGCGAUGAAAAGAGAAAAUACAGUGCAAUUAAAUACACCCCUGAAAGGACAAGAGACCUCACGAUUCACAGACUGCUCGGAAAUUGGAUUAAGCCCAUUACUUCUCAUCCGACUUUCAGAAGACAUGGAGAAAAAAAUGUCACUGUCCUGUGUAUAACAGUCUUUAACAUAUUUGAAGACUAUUAUCAGGUCGCCCCUCAAUCUUCUUUUCUCCAGACUAAACACGCCCAGUUUUUUAAUCUUUCCUCAGAGGUCAGGUUUUCUAAACCGCUUGUCACACUCAUUGCUCUCCUCUGGACUCUCUCCAAUUUCUCCACAUCUUUCUUAAAGUGUGGUGCCCAAAACUGGACAGUACUCCAGCUGAGAUCUCACCGUGCCAAAUGGAGCGGAACAAUGACUGUCCAACUCUUCCAUAUGACACCCCUGUUAAUACACCCCAGAACAUCAGCCUUUUUUGCAAUUACAUCAUAUUGUUGGUGCAUAUACAAUUUGUGAGCCACUAUAACCCCCAGAUCCUUUUCAGUAGCACUACCACCUGGCCAGUUAUUCCUUACUUUGUAGUUAUGCAUUUGUAUUUUUCUUCCUGAGUGUAGUACUUUGCACUUGUCUUUAUUGUUUGCCCUCUGUUUUUAUGGGCACAUAAUACUGUAAUAACAUGUAGCAUUUAUCCAGUGUUUUACGUGUUCACAGUGGUGUGAAAUUAAUGUGUGUUGUGGGUGAAUAUUAUUCCCCAUUUUACAGAUUGGGAAACUGUGGCAGAGACAAGGCUCAUUAUUUGUUGUUUCGGUACAUAAUAUAUUUAACAGUGAAAGCUAAGAAAAGGGGAAGAAAUAAGAGUGAAGGAGAAAAAAAUUCCAGUAUGCUGAAGUUCCCGGUGAGUGAAUGCAAUUGCUAAAGAGAAAAGACUUAAUAUUCUGGAACCUUUUAGUGUUGGCUAGAAAAUAGGUAUGCAUAAAUGCUGCAUAAAACCAGCAUUAAGUGUUUGCACUCUGUACCAUUUAUUCCUCCUGGGAAGAGGAGUAAUAUGUGUUGGAUGAAGGUACACACAUCUGUGUCGGGGCACAGACACACGGACUGCUAAACGUCUGCAGUCUGGAAUACGUCUCCAUGCCAGAGGACCCGCAGAGCAGCUUCUCUGUUGCUUUUAGGGGAACCCUUGUUGGCCGUAGGGAACUUUUCCCUGCACUCUCUCUGGCUGUGUCUUUGACCCAUUAGUGCAACUUGCAGCCAAAAUUCAGGCAAAAAUCUGUAACAAAAAUGACUGUCUCCUCCAUUCUUUUGCCUAUGUUCAAAAAUUCCCAUGACACUCACAAAAGGAAUCUGUUUCAAAAGCCUUACAAGGAUGACAAAAGACUUGUGUCUAUUUAUUGUACUUAUAGGGACCCUGUCUUACCCUAGUAUCUGACCAGCUCACAACAUUUAAUGUAUUUAUCCUCAGAACUGCCCUGUGAGGUAGGGCAGUACUAUUAUUCCCCUUGUAUAGUUGGGGAACUGAGGCAUGGAGAGGCUAAAUGACCAGCCCAAGAUCACACAAGUCUGUGACAGAGCAGGGAAUUGAACUCAGGUUUCUGAGUCCUAAGCUGAGUCUCUAUUUGUGAUCAAGUGGGCCCAAAGCACCGAACCAACCUUCCUUCAGCCCCAUGCUACAAGCAGGCGUUAGCAGGACUUAGGUGCCAUUGCAAAAAUCCUGGGGACCCCGCCAUUGUUUCUGAGCUAUACCUACUUCCAGGAGCUGCAUUACCUGCAUCCCAGGUUUCUCAACUUCCUUUGGAGACCCUAAUGCCAUCAAUGUUCACCUUAUAAACACAACAGUAUCACGGUAGCCUGCCUCUUGAUAUACAUUAUAAGCAUUGUUAUAGACUUUACCCAGACCAAAUUCCAUCUUCCCUGUCUUUCACCUAGCUCGCCGGUGGGUGAAUCUAGAUGCUGGCCAUAAAUCAGUGAAACAGCAGCAGAUCGGUAUAUCAUUUCUUCUGGGAGGGAACAAGUAGAACUUUGUUACAAAUUCAUUCAUGGAUGAAACAGCCUCUAAGGCUCUAAAACUACUUGUCAUUUCCUCAUUCCUGGAUGCCAGGUCUUCUUGGGCUUCCAUGAAGCCUGUGAGAGGCCAUUUGUAUUAAUAGCUCUAAGCUUCUGCAUUUCCUGGAUCCGAAACACUAAUGAAAAAUCCUUCCUGAUACUUCUCUAGGGGAAAGGCAGUUUCCUCCAUCUCCCCAUCCCUAUCAGCACAUCUGAUCCAGCCAGUCAGCUGACCUCCUGGACAUUUAUGUCCUACGACAGAUUUACAUGAAACAUCUGCCUCUUCUUGGUGGGGUGGGUAUUUCAUAGUUAAAGGCCACGGGCUAUCUCAGGACAUGAAAUGGUUCUUGCUUCUCAGACAACUGUUCACGGUCUCAGGAGGGGAAACAGCAAUCAGACCUUUUGCCCUGGCUGACUUAUCAUACUGCUGCUUCUGCCCGACUUGGGCUUCCCCUAGGGUCUGUUAAGUAAGAUCCUUCAUCCUGUAUAAUUAUUUCCCCAUCCUGAUUCUCAAUACUGACUUGACAGGGAAGAGCAGUUCAAAGAAUACGAAUGGUGGAUGCCUGUGUUUUUGAUCUAUGCAGAAGUUGGUAUGGGAACUACUUCGAGCUGAUGCCUAAAUUAUUUUUGGAGCAUAUUAUUCUUCCUAAGGAUCUAGAUGAACGGCUUUGGAGAUUUAUGGGAAUGAUGUUUAUGGUGGCAUUCCUAUAAGCAGAGACAGGUGAGUUUAACCCUGAGAUGUUGCCCUUACACAUUGCAAAUGGUCAGUUCUUAGGAAUGUUGGGAUAGCUUUGUUGUUCACACAGGAACCUUUAGUUACACUGAGUUCUACUCCAUUGAUGUCAGUGGGAUUACUCCUUGAUGAGAUAUUAGUCACUGUGAUAAGGAUAUGGCAACCUAGUCCUGAUUAGUUGGGGAGGCAGAGGGGUACUAACAUGUUAGAAAAUACUGGAAUUACCUUGCUAAUACCUCUUGCAUUUAUUUAUUUUUUACUAUUAUAGCAGCAUGGAUGUGCAGGGCACUUUACCAACCAAUUAGGAGAUGCCGCCAACGAUGACAGAGGAAGGGGAGACAGGGAAAUAUUUGGGAGUAAAGAUAAAAAGCUCACUUUUUUGCCGCAUUAUGUUUCAGCCCAUAGCAAGAGCUCCAUAAAGAUGUCAGACAGACACACUGAGGCGCGAGAUUCCACAGGGGAGCCAGAGCAGGAGUAAAUCUGUGUCUUAUCAGUAUAAUGGAAUUACAUUGACUUGUGCCCUUGGUGAAUUUGGCCUAUUGAUUAGUCGUCGUCCUCUCCCCCUCUCCCCCCCAAGCACUGCAAAGGAGCUAAUAUUUAUUAGCCCAUUUUACUGAUGAAUAAACAAAGAUGCAGCGAGGCUAAGCAAUUUAUCCAAGGUCACCCGGUGAGUCAGGAUUAAAACUCAAAAGUCCUAACUCCCACGUAACACCAGUCACAACACUGACACAUGGAAUGACUAGUGUAAAUAUUGGAGAUAAAACUACCUACGAGGUAGGACUGAUAUUAGGCCAUAGUUACAAAAAUACAAAACAAGCAUUGGGCUUCCUAUUGUCACACAACCAUUUGCAGGGGUCACAGCACUGUUACUUUGGCUAUGAGAGCUUGUUGCUGUCUAUUCUUGAGUGAGAGAGGUUUUCAUCAUAUACAAAAACAAGUUCUUACAGUGCUACUGCCCCACACGUCUACUACAGUGAUACUUGCAGUUUGGGCUAUGAGUGUAGUCGACUGUAUUUUAUUAUGAGCAGUAUUGUGCCACAAGCCAUAUUAUAUAUACGGAGUAAAAUCCUGGCUUUAUUGAAGUAAAUAGGUGAAAUCCUGUUUCCAUAUAAGUCAAUGGAAGUUUUACUGUGACAUCUUGAAUCUAAAAAGAGAGGCAUUGCUAAAAGUUACCUUAAAAUAUUCUCUAAAGAUCAUCACUGAAAGAGUUAACACUUGGAGCCUCCCCUCCCUCAUCCCUUGAUGUUCUAAACCUUUUCUAACCUACCAGCUUCCCAGAAGUGAUUGCCCGCUGUCUGUGAACCAGACUAUUUAAGCAGCAUGAACCCUCUGAGUUUCAGUCCCUGGGCCUCCCUGCAGUUGUUAAAUGGUUCAUGUAGUUUGCCAAGCAAAGGGCUGCCUGUGACUAAAAAAAGGAGCCGUUUUAAUAGCUCUAAUAUAGCGGGCCAGCAAAUGUACCAAUGGGGUACAGUCAGAAACUGGGAAGGGGCAAUUUGCAAAUAAUUUGGAGUUUCCGCUAGGAACAGGGAGCUCGGUGUGUGAGGAACGUGAUGAUGUCUGACAUUUUAGAGGUAAAUGGACUAGUCAGUUUUUGUACAUUUUCCACUUUGUUGGCAAGUUAUUUUCCUGAGAAAACACAAUGACCAAAACACCAGUGAAAUUUGGUUUCCUUUCCUCCUUAAGGAACAUUAAUCUCCAGACUGAUCAUUCUGAAUCUGACUUCACACUGAAAUUGAUGAGAGGUGCUGUUUAUUCAACACUCUUUUAUGCUCCCUAACAUUACCAUGCAUGUCUGGAAACAUGCUCCUUCUUAGUAUAUUGUCAUGCUCACAACACAAGGCACAUUGUCACUUCAAGGGGAGCAUUAUCUAGUGGUUCAAAUCAGAUACUGAACUCUUCUUGGUGGCAAAUGCAAAUAGUCUUAGCUAACCGAGCUAUGACAAAUUAUAGCAGAUGUCCCUUGGGCUCUAUUCUGGGCUGUUCCACCGACAUGCAGUGUAACUCAAAAGGAGUCACUCAGUAGCUCUCUGCCUCAGUUUCCCCCCAAUCUGAAAAACAGAGAUUGCCUGGGUUACAAGGUUGUUGUGGGGCUUUAAAAUUAAUGUUUGUAAAGCACUUUGAGAUCACUCAUAUCUAUAUCUAUAUAAAUGAAAUUAUAUACAGUAUAGACUAGAUAAUAAUAUAAGUGUAAAGGACUAUUUAAAAUAUAAAUCAAAGUAUUAUUACAAGAAGUCUGUUCCAGAGACCCAUGCAUGGCUUGGAUUCAGUAAAGUAUGUGCUGUUAGAAUCCUUUCUAGUGAAAAAAUGUUUCAACAGCAGCUAGUUAAAUAUUGUGAUUUCAUAUGGCGCCUUUACUUACAGUGUGUCGUUAUCUUUAACAACAUCUAUUUAUAAUGAUCUUUAUGAGAUAAUAAACAGUGCUAUCCUAUUAACAGUGACCUCAAAGUUCAGCCAAGAACAUGAGGAAGUCUGCCAAAAUAGCUAGGUGGCCUUUCUUGCAGUCUUGCGGAACACAGCUGACUUUUAUUUUUAUUUUCAGAUCUAGCAAUAUUAAUACCCAAAUAAAUAUAAAUUAUAGGUGUUAAGUGAAAUUUAUGGAUCGUGAAGGUGUGAAUCAGAUGGCACCAGCAAAGUGUGGAUUCAGGUAUAGGCUAGGGAUGCAAACUGCUCUUGUGUCGCUUUGCCAAUACUCUAAUCUUAUCUGUAGCAUCCCAGGCAUUUUAUAGCUUUGACGUUUGAAAGAAAAUCUAUUGGCUUGUCUUCUGGAAAGCUUGGCCUAGGGGAAAAGACAGUUCCUGGUGUAGAGGGAGUUGUUUGUAUAGGUGGCUUGGUGGCAGGAUGUAGGUUGAGGAAAGACUGGUGAUGUAAUUAAUGCCAAGUUUAACAGACUCCUUGCAGAAGAGGAAAGUCAUUGUACCACUAUUAAUAUGACUACUAGUACAACCACAUGCUGGGGUUCAGGGGACAGAUACAGGCAUUGCCAAAGGAGAGGUGGACAUUUAUGAUUCCGAAAUGUCAUCUGAGUAACAUGUUUUGUGUUCUGCGUUGAGCCCUGUUCACUCCUUGGGUUCUUAAACUGUGUCCUCUGGAGCCCUGCAGUCCUCAGAACUCUCCCUAGCAGUCCACAAAAUGAAAGAAUUUUGCAAACCAAACAAUGUGGGAGUCUGGAAAGAGAAAAGGAUGCUUGUGAGGUUCUUUCAGUGACAAAGUAGACUGCGGAGUGAAAAGCUGGAGAAUGGCUGGUCCAGACAACAGUUCCUGUGUGAAGCGCUGAAAUACGCGCUGACCUUCCUGUGCGCCUGACCAUCAUGUAUCAUUCCCACAGCCGCAUUUUUAUGCCCUGGGCAAUAAACAGUCACUUUUAUACUAACAUCUGUAUGAAAAGCUUGCUGUCCUCAUUGACCAAGAAAACACCCAUCCUAAUCCAACAGUGCUGUACGGCAUAGAACCAACUGGAUUGCACACCCCUGCUCUGAAACUUUCUUCUGCCUUCACCAGAUUAUUUAUUGCUGUGUUCCACACUGGGAGGAAGAGAAGGCUUUACGCAAUGUCUUCAUAUUUAAAAACUAAACAGCUUCUAUAAAGGCCUCUUGUCACAGUCUGGGUAUUAAUGUGUUAUGCUUUAAAUGGUAACCCACAGCUGAAUGCAUUCUAUGCUAUGGAUCUGGCUAGCGUAUGUGCGAUGUUGACACAAAUUAUGGCAUUAUGUUGUAUAUGAUAUCUGAUAUUAUUUUUAUUAUAAUACCAAGAUCAAGGCCCUAGAAUGACUCAUUCCUGAAGCACUUACAUUUAGAGAUGUGCGAAUAACAGAUUUUUCAGAUCACUGGCCAUUCUGGAAAAAACACGGUUUGGGGUGACCCAAAAAUGAACUUUUUUGGCGAAUCAAAAAUAUUAAAUAAAGUCAUUUGGGGUUGAAUGGACCAUUUAAGUUUUACCAAAAGUUAAAUGCU